GUUUGUGUGCCUUGUCUCGACGGUGGCGCUGGUGAACGCCGGCGAUCCUUACUUCUACUACACGUGGAACGUGACGUACGGAACCGCCUCGCCUCUCGGAAUCCCUCAACAAGUGAUUCUCAUCAACGGACAGUUCCCAGGUCCUAACCUAAACUCUACAUCUAACAACAAUGUCGUCAUCAAUGUCUUUAACAACCUUGACGAGCCUUUCCUCUUGACCUGGUUAGUAACCAUUUCCUCUCGUUUCUUGUUUACUAAUUACGCGUUUUUGCAUGAGCAUAUUGUUUUGAAGAUCAAAUAAUAUUUUGAACGAUACAAAACAUUUUUUUUCAUUUUAAUACACUUUCUUACAAAGGUCAAACGCCAAAUGCAAAAAUAACUUCUCAAAUCGUUUGAUGUUUUCAUUUUACAAUUUACAAAUCAAUAUUUUUUCCACAUAUUUAAGAUUGGACAUUCGUUUGAAAAUAGAAAAUAUGUCUUGGUUAAGUUAUGUUAUUUUGUUUCUUGGUUUUUAGUUUGAAAAAUUCAUAACUAAAUUUAAAUCAAAAUCUUUUUGGAUCAUUCAAUUAAUUGGUUUAAGAAAAGUUUGUUUUAUCUCCGUUCAGAUAGUAGUUUUUUUAACAGCAAAAGUGUUACAUUAAUUUCACAUAAUGAUAUCUAUAUAUUUAUAUGUAUACAAAUAAAAUAUAAUAUUUUAGUUUGGUUCAGUUUUGAUUUUAGAUUUAUUUUGCAAUAGGUUUGGUUAUAUGGCUACAACUAUACAUGUCUAGUUUUCAUUGUAACUUUUGAUACUGAGUCCUGACUAUUGGUUCGGUGACAUGGCAGGAGUGGUCUCCAGCACAGGAAGAACUCAUGGCAAGAUGGUGUGACUGGGACCUCAUGCCCAAUCCCAGCAGGCACCAACUACACUUACCACUUCCAGCCAAAGGACCAGAUCGGUAGUUACUUCUACUACCCAUCCACCGCUCUCCACCGUUUCUCCGGUGGUUUCGGUGGCCUCCGCGUCAACAGCCGUCUCCUCAUCCCCGUCCCUUACGCUGACCCCGAAGACGACUACACCGUCCUCAUCAACGACUGGUACACCAAGAGCCACACCGCUCUCAAGAACUUCCUCGACAGUGGCCGUACUCUUGGCUCCCCUGACGGCGUUCUCAUCAACGGUAAGUCCGGCAAAGUCGGAGGACAGGACAAGCCACUCUUCACCAUGAAGCCAGGAAAGACAUACAAGUACAGAAUCUGUAACGUUGGAUUCAAAUCCACUCUUAACUUCAGGAUCCAAGGACACAAGAUGAAGCUUGUUGAGAUGGAAGGCUCCCACGUUCUCCAAAACGACUACGAC
rnacentral:lncRNA from 1 species